rnacentral:rRNA from 1 species
ACGUAGGGAGCAAGCGUUGUCCGGAAUCACUGGGCGUAAAGGGCGCGUAGGCGGUUUUACAAGUUGUAUGUGAAAUACCAUGGCUUAACCAUGGGGGGUCAUGCAAAACUGUAAGACUUGAGUGCAGUAGAGGAAAGCGGAAUUCCUGGUGUAGCGGUAAAAUGCGUAGAGAUCAGGAGGAACACCGGUGGCGAAGGCGGCUUUCUGGGCUGUAACUGACGCUGAGGCGCGAAAGCGUGGGGAGCGAACAG